AUUGAACGCUGGCGGCAGGCCUAACACAUGCAAGUCGAACGGCAGCGGGGGAUAGCUUGCUAUCCUGCCGGCGAGUGGCGGACGGGUGAGUAAUGCAUGGGGAGCUGCCCAGUCGAGGGGGAUAACAACUGGAAACGGUUGCUAAUACCGCAUACGCCCUAAGGGGGAAAGGUGGGGAACUUCGGUCCUACCGCGAUUGGAUGCGCCCAUGUGGGAUUAGCUAGUUGGUGAGGUAACGGCUCACCAAGGCGACGAUCUCUAGCUGGUCUGAGAGGAUGACCAGCCACACUGGACCUGAGACACGGUCCAGACUCCUACGGGAGGCAGCCGUGGGGAAUAUUGCACAAUGGGGGAAACCCUGCUGCAGUCAUACCGCGUGUGUGAAGAAGGCCUUCGGGUUGUAAAGCACUUUCAGUCAGGAGGAAGGGGUGAUGGCUAAUAUCCAUCAUCAUUGACGUUACUGACAGAAGAAGCACCGGCUAACUCCGUGCCAGCCGCCGCCGUAAAAC
rnacentral:rRNA from 1 species